GCCGGAGUGGCGGAAUUGGUAGACGCACGGGACUUAAAAUCCCGCGGGCAGCAAUGUUCAUGCCGGUUCGACCCCGGCCUCCGGCACCA
rnacentral:tRNA from 1 species